UAUCCUGGCAUACACACAGGUACACAUACACAUGAACAUGUGCAUUAUAUACAGGCAUAGGCAUGUGUGUAUACACCUAUGUGUCCACACACACAUGGAUCUUCUGUUGGGAUUCCCACUCUCACUAGGUUAGGUCAAGGGUACUAUAUAGAUCCUGGUCUUAUUGACUGAGUCAAUUUCAGUCCUGAAUGUAAGGAAUUUUGAAAAUUGUGCAUGCCAGCAGGUGCCCCCUGUGAGCUGAAUAGUCAGACUGGGUUGUCUGUGAGAUCCAGGAUGGAUGCUCACAGGCUUCUAGGACAGAGUUUAUAGUGUGGAGACCAAUGGACAAGGGUCUUCUUUCUUUAUGGCUCUUCACCAAUGGUGAAAAGAAGCACCUCCGUGGCCUUGUGGAGCUACUUGUAUCUCUGUGUCCCAGCUACACAGAAACAGGAAACCAGGACACAGUGUUCAGCUCCCAUUUCCUGAGCUAAAGUGGCCACCAGGGUAAGUGAAAUUGGAUAAGUGAGGGACUAGCUAUCACAGGCUUCUGGCUCGGAACAUACUGAGGGGGAUCUGUGUAGAAUCAAGCCAGCAAGGUGGCUUCAUCUCACAUUAUUGUCAGUGUUACUGAGUUUCCAGUGGAGCUUCAUGUGAGAAGAUUAAUGUGGCACAAUCUCAAGCAUGCAGUUUAGCCUCUUUUAGGUGUGUAUACAUUCCCCAAAGCCCUGUCUAAAUGAUGGCUAAAUAAACAUUGGAAUAUCUUCUGCCUCUGGGGAAGUUUUGAAGUUGCUCAUUCCAAUUACUAUAGGAACAAGAAUCCUGAUGGGCUGGUUUCAUCCUGGAAAAGGAAACAAAGACCUCAGACUUCUCAUUGAUAUGUGUCUCUGUAUGUUGGAGUGUUCUCAGUACCCUUAUUCUGCUUUGUUUCUCUGGAACAAGGUGAGGGCACUCUAAAGAGGUGUUCCAUCUGUCCUGUUGAGGAAGAGAAUGUAUAGAAGUUGCAGGAACCAUAUCCUCUAGGGGACAUCUCUCUUGUCUUGUUGCAUUUCACUCUAUUCUUGCAGAAACCCAAGUUUCUUGUUUCCCCUUAACAGGAAAAAAUACAAGUACAGAAAGAGCAGAGCAGUCUUCCUUUGAAACAUUUCUGAAGUCAGGAGAUGGGCUGAGGAGGCAUAGGCAUGAGGACCUGAGUUCAAAUCCCCAUAAGCAAUGUAAAGAGACAGUUAUAGUAGUUUGUAUGUAAUCCACAUGCCAGGAGGCAGACAGGAGAAUCCCUGAGAGUCAUCAUCAGCCAGUCUAUCCAGUUGGUGAGCACCAGAUUCAGUGAGAUAUCAAAACAGAUAGAUAAUGGUAGAGGAAGAUAUGGGAGUUGACUCUGGGUCUCUAAAUAUAUAAACACACACACACACACACACACACACACACACAUACAUAAAUGCAUACAUAUGUACAUACAUACAUACAUACAUAGGUGCUUGUACCCUCUCACACACAGAGACACACACAAGAGGAAAAUAAAAGUAAGGAUACAAAUCUGUCCCCCAGUAAUCCUGUGUUAUCACAUAGUACUUUGUUGGAAAGGUUUCUUUGGGGUACCUACUAUGUGCCAGGAAACUAGAAGCUCAAGUUCCUGAGCGUCACACCUGAAGACCUUCAGAGCCCCUGUGUGAUAACAUCAUAGAAGUCCCUAGGGGCUACUCAGGUCUUUGGGACUUCUCAACUAUAUGCCUUAUAAAACAAAUAGAAAAUGUCACCACAGGGCUCACAUCAGAGGUGUCCAGAGUAUGGCUGGUGGCCCUUGAAUUUAAGAGCUGUUGGGAGUGGGCUCGGUCAAUCAGUGCUUGCUGUGUAAGCAUGGAGAUCUGAGUUUGAUCUUCAGAAUCCAUGUUAAAAAAAAAAAGCGCAGUGUGGUAGUAUAUGACUGUGGGUCUAGCUGGGGGAGAAGGAAAUAGGAGGACCUUAAAGCUUGCUGGCUAGCCAGCCUGGUGGCAUCAGUGGGUCUCAGCCCAUUGAGAGUCCCUGUCUUACAGUGGGAGCACAGAGCCAUCUUAAGCAACAGAAACUCUGAGAGAAGAGUCUAGAGCUUGCAAAUAUCACUUCCACUUGACAAAACACACUACUUGCCAGGGGACUGGCUCUGAAUUCCUUUGAGAGCCUUUGUUUUUCACCCAAGCAGUGUUGAAGUCAGUGUCUAAGUCAGAAGAACCUGACCCAGAGUUCACAGGAGAAGCUGUUCUUUGUCCUCUGUAGAGGGCUUGUUUGAAAUCCAUAUGAUCAUCUUGCUGGCUUGUUUCUCUUUGGUCCUGUGUAAUACUCACCCAUGGCUUUGUUGAUUACUUUUAACUGUAUUGAGCAGCACCAGGAAAUGUUCUCUGAGCACUCCUAUCUCCGUGACUACCCUGAAGAACCCCUCUGCAGCUCAUGCAGGGAGAAUGCCAAUCUUCUCCAACAUGACAGCAGAGCAGGUGACAGGGGCACAUUGUUCCUUAUAACCAAUCCCUCUCAUUUCACUAGAGGAUUAUCAGCUAACGAAAAGUUGCUGACUUUCUCCCUAAGCUUUUUGGGAAGGCCAAUCCCUUGGUCACUUAUCAUAGUUUAUGGGAUGCUGACAACAUUUUGCCAGAAUGGGAAAGAGUAAGGAAGUUGAUCAGGCCAUACAGCAACUCUUCUCCUUUCUCCUCUUAAUUGAAAGAGAAAAGAACCCAAGACAGUUCCUCCAUGCUCCUGGACUCCUCCCUCUUUUCCGUACACACCCAGCUUCUGGACGAAGAUUCUCUCUCAAGUCCCAUCUCCUCUGGCUCCCUGAUUCCUCAAGUCCAACUGUUUUUUUUUCUGCCUGUCCCCACCAUCCUUCCAACUCUCCCUGUGCUAUAAUGUUGGAUGGUGGAGGCUGAUGUGGGAAUCCAUUGCCAGGAGACAGACAGUUUCCAGGACCAUUCUUUACAUCCCACAUCAUCCCUUUCCCCAGGUCUUUGCUUAUAAUCAACACAUCAGAACAAUGGAGAGACAUUCUGUCUCUGCUGAGGAUUUUUGGUGUAGGAAGGAGUGACAUGGAAUGGUGAUGGUGACCAACCCCUGUCGGAUAUUUGAUAUGUCAGCCUUCAAUAUGCCUGCGGCUCAGCCUUGCCUUGGCCUGGCAUUUACCUCUGCUGUCUGCCCUGCUCUGACAUCAUCUCCUAUAUACUCCUUGCUUCUUUCUCCUUGGAUGCCUUGGGUGCUGAGCAUCCCAGGAGAAACUACUAGUCCAUUGUAUCCUCCUUUCUGCUUCUAUUCUAGUCGCAGCCCUGUUUUUGCCCCUGUAACCUUGAGAGAUUUUAUCCUCUCCGCUCAGGUGUCAUAAACAUUGCUUAUAGUUCACCUGCAUUUAUAGCUAGACAUUUAUAAUCAGUGGGGGUGGGAAGGGUCCUAGGAUUCCAGGAUCUGAGUUCUAACCUGCUCUCAUACAUUUCAAGGACCACAUUGUCCCAAGGACUGAUUCUGUGGGCUGCUAAAAUGAAAGGUGAUUAAUCUGGCAAGGAACAUUAAUAUUAAUGAUCUAAAAAAAAAAGAGCCAGGACAGGCCAGAACCUUUCCCCAAGGGUUUUGUGUACAGCAACUUUCUAGACACAACUGAUUUAUUCAUUGGACAAAUAUUUAUGGGUUGCCUCCUGCACAUAAGUGAGGCACCCGAGUUCCUUGGACAGUGUUUCUUGAACAUGACUAUGCAGGCAGGGUGCUGGGGGGCUGGUACAGGCAGGUACUGAUGCAGUAUGUCUGUGUGGACCUGAGAUUCUGCAUUCCUGUCAGGUUCCCCACAAAGAGCACUGCUUCCAAAGAUCACAUCAGAGUUGGCAAGAGUCCAGACCAGGGCUACCCAGGGGGAAGCAUGGCCUGGAUCACUCAUCACAGACACACCCAUGGCUUUAAAUAGUUGAAAGGCCAAAUUUAAAGGAAGAGUGGCCAGAGAAAUGGCUCUGUGGAUAAAUUGUUUGCCUUACAAAUGUAAAGUUUAGAGUUCAAGACCCCACAAGCCAUGUUUUUUUUUUUUUUAAAAAAAGCAGACAUGAUAUCCUACCUGUAAUCCUAGUACCGUGGAGGCAGAGGUAAGGGAUCCCCAAGGCAAGAGCUAGCUCAAGUCGCCAAAUUGGGAAGCUAUAGGCUUAGCAGGGCAUUGCCUCAGUAAAUAAGGUAGAGAGUGAUAGAGAAAGAUAACUGAUAUUAACCCCAGGUCUUCACACAUACAUAUAUAUGUUGUAUAUGGGUGUUCACAUACCUGGGCUCCCACACAUACACAUACACACACAUGCACACACACAGUACAGAAUUAAAUUUUAAAAAGAUAAAAAUAAAUAGGUGGAGUGUAUUUUAAAGAUUUGUUCUUUUAUGCUAGUAUGUUCAAAACCCAGUAUUAACAUGCCAUCAGAAGGAACGUGUUCAGAUUUUUCACAACCUGGCUUCACUUUGCAUGUAUCUGCUUUUUGCUUUGGAUAUGGAAACAUCCGAGAUGCUCAGUGACCUCACAUAGCCGUGUGCUCACAGAGUCCACAUUACUGACUCAUAGCAGGUGAUAUGGAAAAAAAUGACUCUGAGAGAAGCAGAAGGGGGCACAAGGAGUCUGGCACUGCAGCUCAGGGCCACAUGGUUGCCUUGGUAGAGAAGCAUCUUCAGACUCACAAAUGUGAGGCCACAUAACUCCCCCCCACCCCGUGAACACUGAAAUGAAAUUCUGAGUUCUAAGCUAGUCGCUUGGAAGUGGGCUGUGUUUUCUUCUCCAUCCCAUUCUAAUGUCAAAUUGCUUGAAAAUGCACAGGUAUGCUAGGGAGUGUCUUGAAGGAAACCCUGCCCAAAUGUGUGGUUCCCAUUCACAGUUCUUUCUGAGAUCAAGGCCUUUGAGCACAACCUAGCUGUUGGCAUCAUGUCCUGGGUGUGGCAGAGUCCACUUUGCAGCUCUUUUUCACUUGAUGGAUGGGAGAAGAGAGGAGGGAAGAGCCAUCAGAGAGAGGGGACCAGGUUAUAUGACUUGGGGUGGAGAUGCGCAAUAAUCAGACUCUUUUUAUUUUUGCCUCCUGCAUUCUUUUUCAUUUUGGAUCCUUGGUCCUUCACUUUAGAAGGUUCUCAAUCUGUCUGAGUGGGACUUUGGAAGCCAUCACACAAAGCAGCUCUGGGUAGUCAAGGACAGGCAUAAACGUUGACCACGUUUCCAUGGUUCUCUGGAAAUGGCUGUGAUGCUGGGCCUGGGAUCUCAGUUUUGGGUUGCUCUCUGAGAAUUGCUGCAUUCUGAAUCUCUGAGGAGCUGCCACGGUGAUGGCAGUUAUGCUUAUUGGCCACCUCUUUUGUGUACAUGGAGUUUGACCCAAGUUUCAUUUUCACCCAAGUUCUUGGUGGGCCAGCAUCUUUUCCAGGAGGAUCAGGACUGAGCUGGAGUCUUCUUCUAUGAGGUAAGGAAGCAGGUGUGUAUCACACCAGCCUCCUCUGUACCCUGUCACUUGGGGUUGAUUUGUACCUUGAGUGUCCAGGACCAUGGAUGAGUGCUGGCUCUGGGGUUGGAUUGCCCAGGUUGAACUUUGGGCUGGUGUCUUGUCUCCUGUGAGUCUUAGUUUCUCUGUCUCUCGGGCUCUACAGUGAUAGUUAAUACUUGUUGCCCAGGUUAAGAGGUAAUUAAGUGAUAACUAAUGUAGAGAUGCUUAUGGCGUCUUGGAGAGGUUAGUGUCACCGUCGUUCAUACCAUCAUCAACACCAUUGUUGUCUCACUAACCCCAACACCAUCUUCAGCAUGAUCCAUCGCUGUCACCAUCACUGUCAUUACAACUUCAACAUCAUCACUGCCACCGACACUGUCAUUACUGUCUUCACCACCACCAGCAUCAUCACCAUCAACACCACCAACAUCACUGUCAACCACCUCUGUCAUCGUCACCACCACCAUCAUCCUUGCCAGUUGGUCUCCCUGCCUGACUAUGGCUGGAAAUGGAAUGAACAGGAUGAAGGUGAUGGGUAAUGAUGAUGGCCAACUUGAACAAAACUAGAAAUCACCUAGGAGACAGUUACCUGGACAUGUCUGUGAGGUAUUUCUAAAUGAUGCUAAUUAAGAUAGGGAGACUCCUGCUAAAUGUGGGUAGCACCAUGUCAUGGGAUGGGAUUCUAGACUGAAUUUAAAAAGAUAAGACGAGUGCCAGAAUUAAUUACUGGAAUGUGCUCUUGACUGCGGAUGCUAUGAGGGCAGCUGCCACCCAUGCCUGCUCCCAGGCCUUUCCCCCUGUGAUGGGCCAUCAAAUGGUGAGCCAUAAUCAACUCUUCUUUCCUUAGGUCACUUUUAUCUGGUAUUUUGUAACAGCAAUGUAAAACAUAAUGAAUAUCAACGUUCUAGAUAUCUGGUCCCACUCACUUCCCAGCCCUCUCUCCCAGGGCAUCCUCUUUCCUGAACUGAUGAAUAGGAGACUGGAUCUUUUCGUUACUUUUUUUCAUUUCCUAAAUAACAAUGUUUCUGGAAAAGCUUGCAAACACAGUUCCCACUCCUUCAGGCAAGCGCAAAUGAAGUACAUGAAGAGCUUGGCUUGGGAUUCCCAAAGGAGCAGGCUAGGGUGGAAGGAUAGCAAGCUGGGGUGGGAACACUCAGGAGAGAAGCUGCCGGUCCAGCGCCAUCCGCUAUUGAGUUAUCACGCGGCUGCUCAGCCAGCUCAGUACAAAUUAAUCUCUCGUGGCUGACCAAUUAUGCAUAGUCUUUAGGGAGAAAACAAGUUAAAGAAAAUGUGUUAGGUAAAGCAAGGGCUAGCCGCUCUUGAAUUGGGAGGAGGAGCAGACUCACUCUGUGUCAAGGCUUAUUUUCACAACUGUAGUCCGGUAGAAUUACCAGCAUGCAUAAUAGAGGGACCACAUCUAAUGGUGUGUGUGUGUGUGUGUGUGUGUGUGUGUAGUGAGGCGGGUAGGCAUCUGCUUUUCAACAGAUGCUUGCUCCGUGUUCACUUCUCUGUUCUCCCUCCCUGGCUCUCUCCUCCCUCAGCCCUUCCUCUAACAGACAGAGCACAUCCCCAGUAGCCCCCGAGCUCAUCUCUCCUCUGCUGUUCUUGCCUCCUGGAAAUUGUAAAGCUGUUUUCUUCAACCCCACCAGUGAGAGCGACACUUGCCAGGGCUGUUGCUGCCUCACCGAGUAAUCUGUGGGGCUGGGACAAUGCUGGUUGUGAGAGCCAGGAAAAAAUUCCAAACUGUCUCCGUUUAUUUGUGACUAUGUGUAUAUAUGUAUGUGUGCUCAGGUAUACAUGUAUAUGUGAGUACGUGAAUGUGGAGAAGGCAAACUUGAAUAUGCUAGAUGACAAUGAAGGUUUCCCUGGGUACUACUAAGCUUGAUUUUUGAUCCUGGGGCUCACUGACUGGGCUAGAUUGGCUAGCCAGGGAGCCCCAGAUAUCUGCUUGUCUCUGCUUCCCUUGUAGAGGUUGCAGGCAUAUACCACUAUACUUGGGUUUUCACAUGGGGCUCAAAGUUCAGUACCUAUGCAGCCUAUUUUACUGAGUACCUCACCCAAGUUGUCUCGGUUUUUAUAGGCAUCCAAGGAUCUGUUGGUGGAUGUCUUUACCAAGGUUGUUGCUCUCCCUCCCAUCACAUUCUCCCCCAGUGCCUCCCACUCGACCAUUGUUCUCUCUGAGGGAUUUUAGCCUCUAGAAACAUUGCCACAUUAAGUCUCAUCAACAGUGGAUUGAACCCAGGACAUUGAUGAUAGCUGGUACUACAGAGCAGUCUCCUUUUGCUUUUGCGGAAUACACAAUACUGUGAGCUGUGAGGUUUGUCUGGAAGAAGCAUUGUAAGAAUGAGUAUUUGUCAGUUUACAUAUACACCAAGGCUCUUGAAAUUUUCAUUCAUUCAUUUCGACACUCUCCAGAGUAGGAGCUUUUGCUCAUUCAGCAUCUAGACUUCUUCUACUCCACAAAUCCUCGCUGAGGGCUUAGUCGGUGCUAGGCACAGUGCCAUGUUCUUGGGAUAUUGUGGUAAAAACACGUCUAUGUCUAUUCUUAUUCAGUGUGUGACUUCAUGUACACAGCAUGCUUGUCAUCAAAUCCCUGCAAGGCUUAUCAGAUGUUCCGCAUCAUGCACACAAGAGACACUAAUGCAGCUAAGAAGGCAAGAUGAGGAGUGACCAGUAGACAGAAGCAGAAGGUCACAACAAAGGGAGACAGAACCACAAGAAGCAAAAGCAGAGGACCACACUGAAAUGAAACUCACUGGCGCAGCUAAGAAGGAAAGAGAAGAAAGGAGAAACCAGAUUCCUGGGAUCUAUGACCAUCAGUAUUGGGAAACAGAGAAAAAGAUUAAAACGAGUUUCCUCUUUG